GAAAAAGCUCACAAUUGUCCUUGCUCUGAAUCUUGACAAAUAGUAUAAAGUUCACUAUCCUGGACACAUACAUCAUUUAUCUAUAUACAGUACUUUGGAAGAGAAGGUUUUUAUGUGGAUCAAAUUCCCCCAAUGUUUCAUUGGCACGUUGAUACUGGAUGAAGCCAAAUAAAUCCAAUUAUUGCAAAACAACACAAUGGUAUGCUCUCUUGGAUUUGUAAAGGUCUUAUGAUUUCCCCCUAUUCUUGUCACUAUUUGGCUGUAACUCAAAUCAAACUAUAGCUAGUAUAUCAAGAUGUAACUCAAUGGUUUUGGAGCUUUUUCUAAGUGCAUUGUAAAAAUCUCAGCUGUGAGUUUGAUAAAUUUUAUUUGUGAUGUUCCCAUCCUCAAGACAACCAGAACAUUCAUUGUUUCCAUCAACAACUGGGGGAAAAGGGAUUACUUGCAUAUCAUCCACUGGAGCACUGUCACAUUUUGAGGGAAAAGCAUGGCCUUUUCUGUGAACUCCAAGCAACAAUUGAACUGGGAGACCACAAACGAUACAUCAACACUUUUAACAUGUGUAAAUCAAAGGAAAAACAACUCCUCAUUGGGGGAUAACUUUUUGUAAUUUCUAAAGGUACGUUAAAGUUCAUAUACUUACUAUCAAUGAAAAAUCAAUGAGACCAAAAUCAAUAGGACUUAAAAGGGCUUAAUCCUGCCUGUAUCGCACACAAAGAAAAAACUGACAUAAGCAAUUUUUAAAAACAAAAAUAAAGUAAAAAAAUACCAUCA
rnacentral:lncRNA from 1 species